rnacentral:lncRNA from 1 species
GUGGAAAGGAAACAGUCUGAGGUGUCUCUUCAGUCUUGUGAAAGUUCCAGUGGAAAGGAAACAGUCUGAGGUGUCUCUUCAGUCUUGUGAAAGUUCCAGUGGAAAGGAAACAGUCUGAGGUGUCUCUUCAGUCUUGUGAAUGUUCCAGUGGAAAGGAAACAGUCUGAGGUGUCUCUUCAGUCUUGUGAAAGUUCCAGUGGAAAGGAAACAGUCUGAGGUGUCUCUUCAGUCUUGUGAAAGUUCCAGUGGAAAGGAAACAGUCUGAGGUGUCUCUUCAGUCUUGUGAAUGUUCCAGUGGAAAGGAAACAGUCUGAGGUGUCUCUUCAGUCUUGUGAAAGUUCCAGUGGAAAGGAAACAGUCUGAGGUGUCUCUUCAGUCUUGUGAAAGUUCCAGUGGAAAGGAAACAGUCUGAGGUGUCUCUUCAGUCUUGUGAAAGUUCCAGUGGAAAGGAAACAGUCUGAGGUGUCUCUUCAGUCUUGUGAAAGUUCCAGUGGAAAGGAAACAGUCUGAGGUGUCUCUUCAGUCUUGUGAAAGGC